AUGGGGUGUAGACUGGGACAAUGUGUGUCUGUCGAAGAAGCAGAGAGCCUCGCAUUGCUGCAUGGACUGAAAACUUUGGCAAAUUAUCAUAAUGGUCCAAUUCAUGUGGAGCUUGACUGCAUGACCCUGGUGAAGGCGAUCAGCCCAGACACAGCAAACCAGUCGCGGCUAUUCCCGAUCAUAGCUGACAUCAAGCUAGCAUUGAGCUCUUUUCAAUCAUAUCUGAUCGAGUGGGUGCGGAGGGACAGGAACAAACUUGCACAUGGCCUAGCAGCCCUUGCAUCUAGGAUGGGCGAUCUGUUCAAAGUGGCCGGCGUGCCAGAUGAGAUGAGCGAAGCUUUGAGGAAAGACUGUAAUCAGACUGUUUGA
rnacentral:rRNA from 1 species